AAUCCAUAGGUUAAUGAGGCGAACCGGGGGAACUGAAACAUCUAAGUACCCCGAGGAAAAGAAAUCAACCGAGAUUCCCCCAGUAGCGGCGAGCGAACGGGGAGGAGCCCAGAGCCUGAAUCAGCAUGUGUGUUAGUGGAAGCGUCUGGAAAGGCGCGCGAUACAGGGUGACAGCCCCGUACACAAAAGCGCAUGUGCUGUGAGCUCGAUGAGUAGGGCGGGACACGUGGUAUCCUGUCUGAAUAUGGGGGGACCAUCCUCCAAGGCUAAAUACUCCUGACUGACCGAUAGUGAACCAGUACCGUGAGGGAAAGGCGAAAAGAACCCCGGCGAGGGGAGUGAAAAAGAACCUGAAACCGUGUACGUACAAGCAGUGGGAGCACCCUUUUGGGUGUGACUGCGUACCUUUUGUAUAAUGGGUCAGCGACUUAUAUUCUGUAGCAAGGUUAACCGUAUAGGGGAGCCGUAGGGAAACCGAGUCUUAACCGGGCGUUAAGUUGCAGGGUAUAGACCCGAAACCCGGUGAUCUAGCCAUGGGCAGGUUGAAGGUUGGGUAACACUAACUGGAGGACCGAACCGACUAAUGUUGAAAAAUUAGCGGAUGACCUGUGGCUGGGGGUGAAAGGCCAAUCAAACCGGGAGAUAGCUGGUUCUCCCCGAAAGCUAUUUAGGUAGCGCCUCGUGAAUUCAUCUCCGGGGGUAGAGCACUGUUUCGGCUAGGGGGCCAUCCCGGCUUACCAACCCGAUGCAAACUGCGAAUACCGGAGAAUGUUAUCACGGGAGACACACGGCGGGUGCUAACGUCCGUCGUGAAGAGGGAAACAACCCAGACCGCCAGCUAAGGUCCCAAAGUCAUGGUUAAGUGGGAAACGAUGUGGGAAGGCCCAGACAGCCAGGAUGUUGGCUUAGAAGCAGCCAUCAUUUAAAGAAAGCGUAAUAGCUCACUGGUCGAGUCGGCCUGCGCGGAAGAUGUAACGGGGCUAAACCAUGCACCGAAGCUGCGGCAGCGACGUUUAUGCGUUGUUGGGUAGGGGAGCGUUCUGUAAGCCUGCGAAGGUGGCCUGUGAGGGUUGCUGGAGGUAUCAGAAGUGCGAAUGCUGACAUAAGUAACGAUAAAGCGGGUGAAAAGCCCGCUCGCCGGAAGACCAAGGGUUCCUGUCCAACGUUAAUCGGGGCAGGGUGAGUCGACCCCUAAGGCGAGGCCGAAAGGCGUAGUCGAUGGGAAACGGGUUAAUAUUCCCGUACUUGGUGUUACUGCGAAGGGGGGACGGAGAAGGCUAUGUUGGCCGGGCGACGGUUGUCCCGGUUUAAGCGUGUAGGCUGGUUUUCCAGGCAAAUCCGGAAAAUCAAGGCUGAGGCGUGACGACGAGGCACUACGGUGCUGAAGCAACAAAUGCCCUGCUUCCAGGAAAAGCCUCUAAGCAUCAGGUAACAUCAAAUCGUACCCCAAACCGACACAGGUGGUCAGGUAGAGAAUACCAAGGCGCUUGAGAGAACUCGGGUGAAGGAACUAGGCAAAAUGGUGCCGUAACUUCGGGAGAAGGCACGCUGACAC
rnacentral:rRNA from 1 species